AACGAACGCUGGCGGCAGGCUUAACACAUGCAAGUCGAGCGCCCCGCAAGGGGAGCGGCAGACGGGUGAGUAACGCGUGGGAACGUACCCUUUGCUACGGAAUAGCUCCGGGAAACUGGAAUUAAUACCGUAUGUGCCCUACGGGGGAAAGAUUUAUCGGCAAAGGAUCGGCCCGCGUUGGAUUAGCUAGUUGGUGGGGUAAUGGCCUACCAAGGCGACGAUCCAUAGCUGGUCUGAGAGGAUGAGCAGCCACACUGAGACCGAGACACGGCCCAGACUCCAACGGGCGGCAGCAGUUGGGAAUAUUGGACAAUGGGCGCAAGCCUGAUCCAGUCAUGCCGCGUGAGUGAUGAAGGCCUUAGGGUUGUAAAGCUCUUUCGCCGACGAAGAUAAUGACGGUAGUCGGAGAAGAAGCCCCGGCUAACUUCGUGCCAGCCGCCGCUGUAACAC
rnacentral:rRNA from 1 species